GACGUAGGGCGCGAGCGUUGUCCGGAUUUAUUGGGCGUAAAGAGCUCGUAGGCGGCUUGUCGCGUCGUCCGUGAAAACCUGCAGCUCAACUGCAGGCUUGCGGUCGAUACGGGCAGGCUAGAGUUCGGUAGGGGAGACUGGGAGUUCCUGGUGUAGCGGUGAAAUGACGCAGACUAUCAGGAGGAACACCGGUGGGCGAAGGCGGGUCUCUGGGC
rnacentral:rRNA from 1 species